GAGGAGAGGAAGAGGGAGAGAGAGAGAGCAUAUUAGUGAUCUGAAGGAGCAUACAUGACAGGAAGACAGUAGUUUAGCUUCAGUCAGCAGUGCUGCAGCAGAGCAUGGACGGAGAUGAUUCAUUCUGAAAGAUGGUGAAUAUUGACCGUGCUGCUGUACCAGUGCAGCUGACACACUGUUCAAGGGCUGCCGUACAAUAAGAUAAUGAGGCGCAGCCAUCUUAAAAGGGAGUAAACACGAGCAGAGCCAGGAGGCUUUAAAGGAGCAGAGCUAUUAGAGAAAAUGGCUCAGCUUCAUGGUUGGCUCAAAAGAUUCUUUAAGGUGGAACUGCACCAUCCUCCUUUUUACUUCCCCCUUUUUUGGUCCUUUAAUCUUCUACGAUCAAGCACUUUUGCCGCCCUCUCCUUUGUCUGUUGCUCCUUGGGUUCUUGCCACUCUGACAAAAAGCUGCAGCUGUAAUAAAAGGUGCAUUUUUAUAAUGAGGGUCGAAGAGGAUUUAGAAACUGCAGGGGCAUUCAGUCAAACUCAAUGCAGCAGAAAUAAUGAUGCCUCUUAAGUACCUUUGCAGUCACUGGUAAGAUGCAGUGCUUGCAUGCACUGAUGGAACAAGCAGGCACAUCGGACGCAUUCGUAUCUUUUCCGUUUCUGCUGAGCGUUCAGGUCAGGUGAUUUAGGAGGAGCACAGUUUGAACAUUACGAAGCGGCAGAAAACUUUGGGAGAUUCGUGGACGCGAACUCCUGGGAAAAACAAGUAGCUGAGUCUGUUCUAAUGAGCUCUAGGAAGUAAUGGUGACACUAAAGAGAUACUGGGUUUGUAUAUGUGUCUAUGUGCUUGGUUGGGCUAAAAAUAUCCUCUGCCAUUGGUCACAUUUCUCUAUCCAACAUCAUCUCUCAUCACACUCUUAUUCUGUCUUUUCGGUCUCCAGCUUGCUUUGUCAGCUACAAACCGUGUCUCCUCGCACCGUUUCAAGGAUGAACGUUCCUUGGCAGGGAGUAAAUCCGUCUAUCGUCUGGCUGCGACGUCACUUGCCAGCUUCCUCUUGCAGAUAUGUUUACGCCUUCCCUCACAACAAGAGAAAACAACAAAUCAGGCCCCUUGCAGGUGGUGUCAAGAGGUUUGUCACUCUCCCAUCCACACUGGAAAUGUGAAAAUGAGUGUUCCGCUCGCUUCUUCUGGAGGGAAUAUCAGCCGGAGUGAAACUGACACAAAUCCCCUCUUCUGCUGGCAGCCAAGCAAAUGAAAAUGCAACCAAGUUUCCCCUGCCUCAGUCAGGCGAAUAUGAUGGGUUUGUACACAAUAUCUUGUGUGGUGUUGCUCCAGUUUUGCGAAUGCAUGCCAGUCUCGGCAUUUAAGCUCAGUUUCCUGCUCCAGUUUGCUAGAGGCCUACAGAGACACAGUACUGUGUUUGAGACGUUAGACUGAAGAAAGAAACAAAGUCAUUUGGUUGAAAAGACACAUAAAAACCAAUUAUUCUUCUAGAUUCUUCAGUCCUUAAGGAUAUUUUUGGAGACAAUGGAAACUGCCCUGUACACUGCUCUAAUUUGUGGAGUCUACGGGUUAUUAUUCAAACAAAAGAUUUUCAUAAAAGUUUCUCAAACUUUUCCUUGUUUCAAAAACCCAAUUUAUUCAGUUUACUUCCAACUGACAUGCUAUUUUGUUAGACUCAGUAAAGAACUUUGUCCAUUUAAAAAUUGAAUUAUUUAAUUAAAUUAUUUAAAUAUUCCCCACUCGCCAGUGAUUAAACUUGGCUAAAUUCAGCAAGCUCAGACCCGUUACAAUCUUGUUGCUCAGAGGAGACAAAUAAAAACUCUAGCCCAAAAAACUAAAUUAAUUGACCCUCCAAAAGUUUUAAAUUAUAAGCCUUUCUUUGAUUCAAGACCCUUUUAUACUUUGGAUCAACAACAAUUUUCUACAAAAACACAACUGUUUAUUAACUUGUUUUGUUUAAUAUAUUUUUGAGUAUUAAAAAAUAUCAUAAAAGAUUUGCUUUUUUUAUUUUAAGAAAUGUAAGAUUUUUGUGGCCUUUGCACUAAAUGACUUUGACCAUCUCGACAAAAAGUUUGGACACUUUUGCUCCUGGAUAUUGACACAGAGACUGCAGAGUUUGUAAUGCUCGCUUUGCUCCCCCAUUAAUGGCUAAGAUACGGUUGUUCGGAAUGCAAGCUCCACAAUCAUUUUGUCUUUAAUUUAAAAUUAAAAGUCUGCUUUGUUUUGAAGUGACUCGUCGUCAUUGCUGUGCUUAUUUCUUCUUUUGCAUUGCUAUUCAUACAUUUAUAUUCGUAAAGCCUUGGCUUUUCUAAAAAUGGAGAAAGGAAGUUGUCUCAAAAUUGACAGGACUCCACCUGUCAAUCAUUCUGCGAGGCUCGUCAGCCACUGACCAAUCGGCGGUCGCAAUUUGUGUCGUAGACGCACCUUAUCCGGAGGAAGUAAAUGCUAACACGUUGCGAUCAUAAAGAGUUUGCGGAAAAUAAUAGGAAAUCAUGGUUCAGCGAUGUCAGUGACCUGACAGCUGUUACCUAGAGUUUUCAGCGGGCGGAUUUUAACUUGUUACAUUUCCAAAACCCAAACGGAGUCUGGGAUGAUGCAAGAGAUGAAUCGAGGUCUGCGGCCGACCUCACGUCCACUUGAAUGAAACUGUGAUCAACACCUACCACAUGUUGUCUGCGAGAAGGGUUUUAACUUUGGCCUCUGAAUAAGCUUGUUGGAGGUGAUGGAGGAUCUCAGAGGAAGGCAGAGCACUUUGGCUGAUUUCCAGAAAACGAAGAUGGACGACUCCACAGCUAAAUCUGCAGAGAUGCUCAGAUGCUUUCAAAGAGAAACCUCCACCACACAUACACAAAAAGACUUCAAACGGAGAUGAAUUCAGCCUGGUGAAGUAUAUUUUCAGAACCUGCAUCUGUGAGUUGUCCGUGUAGGUAGACAUGGUUCACCUGCGCCCACAUGCUUCUGAAACAACUGCACUGUUGCCGAUAGCUAGCAAAACAUUUGUUUAGUCUCACCCCUGUGUCCUGUCAGAUCUCAUACAUAUCAUUACACCAAGAAAUGAUGUGUGAAAUGAUGACUGCAUGGAACAUGCUGAAGGAAAAUCCUCCACCUGCAUUCACAAUCAAGUUCACCUAUACAAAGAAAUAAUGACAGCUACUAUUAUCCACUCAAUAUUUCUUUCUCAGCAUAGUGUGGGUUAUAUAUAUGCUUUAAAGUCUUUGUAUCAAGCUGUUUCAAUCCAUUUAAUCCAAAAAAGGUGCUAUAAAUGUGAAACUGCCUCACAUUUUUGUCCCUGCUAUUAGCUUCAAAGCUUUUGUUAUGUAAAGUCGUAUCUUUAUUCUCAAAAAUUGCCAAUUAGCUUAUUCAUAGUUAUGAUCAAAUUGGAUUGUAAGUAAUUAAAAAUCUUAUAGUCUAAAUGA